ACCCAGACUCUACGGGAGGCAGCAGUCGAGAAUCAUUCACAAUGGGGGAAACCCUGAUGCAGCGACGCCGCGUGGGCGAAGAAGUAUUUCGGUAUGUAAAGCCCUAUCAGCAGGGAAGAAGAAAUGACGGUACCUGAGUAAGAAGCACCGGCUAAAUACGUGCCAGCAGCCGCGGUAAUACGUAUGGUGCAAGCGUUAUCCGGAUUUACUGGGUGUAAAGGGAGCGUAGACGGCGAUGCAAGCCAGAUGUGAAAGCCCGGGGCUCAACCCCGGGACUGCAUUUGGAACUGUGUGGCUGGAGUGUCGGAGAGGCAGGCGGAAUUCCUAGUGUAGCGGUGAAAUGCGUAGAUAUUAGGAGGAACACCAGUGGCGAAGGCGGCCUGCUGGACGAUGACUGACGUUGAGGCUCGAAAGCGUGGGGAGCAAACAGGAUUAGAUACCCUGGUAGA
rnacentral:rRNA from 1 species